rnacentral:lncRNA from 1 species
AUGUUGGGAGUCCUUGACAGCCAAUCACAUCUUCAUCAGCUUGGCCCAGACCAUGAAGCUCCUUCGCCUCCGAAGAAACGUGGUCAAGCUCUCCUUGUAUCGCCACUUUACCAACACCCUCAUAUUCGCCGUUAUUGCCUCAGUCAUUUUCAUUAUCUGGAUGAUGAAGACCUUCAAGGUUUCAAAGUGCCAGUCGGACUGGAGGGAGCUGUGGAUAGACUGCUUCCUGGCGGUUCCUCUUCUCCACCAUCCUUCUGGUCAUCAUGUUUCUGUGGAGGCCGUCUGCCAACAACCAGAGGUAAGAGGUCACGGCUAAACAGUUCAACACAAGGCCAAAACCCUCUCAACCAAAGUCAUGUUUGUUUUUUACUGGCUAGGAUCUUUCAGUAUGUCAACAGAGA